rnacentral:lncRNA from 1 species
UUUGGUGAUUGAAGAAUUUCGUGGUUCCUUGUUCGCUUCGGACUUGCUUGUGUUAUUCCAUCAAGUUCUGUGAAGCUGAAUCCUGAAUUGUUUCUAACAUUCACACCAAUAGGUGAAGUUGAUGGUGUUGAAACUGAAACCAUAGGAAUGUCUUGUUUGGAAUUGAAACUUUUGGAUUCUGUUUCCGAGGUUGGAACUCUUUCUUGUGGAUUGAAGAUUCUCCAACAACCUUAUUUUUCUCAAAACUCUUCUUAACAUUUUCAACCUUAAUCCCACCAUUAACAUUAACAACUUCAUCAAGUAACUCUUGUGUAGCUUUCAAAUACUUAGAACUCAAUAACACACUCUGUAUCCCCGAAACACCGUUCGAAGCAGAGGAACCCGACCCACCAACGGGAACACGCGUGUCCUCGCCCGACCCUUGAGCAUGUAAGCUUAAUGACAGUCCCUGAGUAGCGCGUGUGGCUUCACGCGCCGCUGAAUUAGGGUCGGCGGGGUUCCACAUGUUGUACUGCAUGCGCGGUGGGAAGCCAUGCAAAGCGGAAACGUCAUGAUGGGCAUGUACUGAUUGUUGUUCUGCCGAGAGCGGGACCCCGACAAACUGUGGUGGCGCGUGAG